CAUGAAGAACGUAGCGAAAUGCGAUAAGUAAUGUGAAUUGCAGAAUUCAGUGAAUCAUCGAAUCUUUGAACGCACCUUGCACCCUUUGGCAUUCCGAAGGGUAUGCUCGUUUGAGUGUCAUUGUACUCUCACACUCUCCGAUCCUAUGGAUUCGGGGAGCGGUGGACUUGGGUGUUGCUGCCUUUCCUUGUGGCUCACCUCAAAUGUGUCAGUGCACCUCUUGGUUGGACAUAGUACGGCGUGAUAAGUGUCUUCGCCGGCACCUCGCAAGAGGGUGGCCGAUCGGGAGCUCUGUGCUUUCAAACCGUCUUCGGACAAUUUCUGACAACUUGACCUCAAAUCGAGUAGGACUACCCGCUGAACUUAAGCAUAUCAAUAAGCGGAGGA
rnacentral:misc_RNA from 1 species